rnacentral:lncRNA from 1 species
AGCAUUUUGCUUGCAUAACUCUGUGCACUAUGUGCCUUCCUGCUCUCUGUGGAAGCCAGAAGAGGAUAUUGGAACCACUUGAACUGGAGUUUCAGCAUAAGACUGAAAUCCUGUAACUUCCAGGGAGAAAAUAGUGAGUGCACUUCAAGAUACGGGCACAGGAUGUUCUCAAGUGGCUUGUGAUCACUCAGGAAAGAAGGCUGGUAAACAACAAAUGGGAUCUUAUGAAGUUUAAAAUUUAAAACGCUGUACAGCAAGGAAACAGUCAAUUGAAUGAAAAGGUAGCCUGCAGAAUGGGAGAGAGCUCUUUGCCAGCUGUACAUCUGACAGAGGACGAGUACCUAGAAUAUACAAAGAACUUAAGAAACAAAAUAUCAACAAAACAAACAACUCAAACAUGUGCAUGCUUGCAUACGUGUGCACACUUACACACACACACACACACACAUACACACACACACACACACACACAGUGGAUCUAAACAGAGUUCUCAAAACAGAAAAUGCAAAUGGCUAAUGAAUAUUUUAUAAGCUAGCCACAAGGGAGAAGCAAAUGAAAACUACUUUGAGACUCCAUCUCUCUCCAUUCAGGGAAGCCCUUGAG